GCCAACAGAGCAUGCAGAUAAUUAUCUGUGACACCCAUGGUGUACUGUGAGCAGGUAUACAGGCCAACAGAGCAUGCAGAUAAUUAUCUGUGACACCCAUUGUACACUGUGAGCAGGUAUACAGGCCCACAGAGCAUGCAUAUAAUUAUCUGUGACACCCAUGGUGCACUGUGAGCAGGUAUACAGGCCCACAGAGCAUGCAGAUAAUUAUCUGUGACACCCAUUGUACACUGUGAGCAGGUAUACAGGCCAACAGAGCAUGCAGAUAAUUAUCUGCGACACCCAUUGUACACUGUGAGCAGGUAUACAGGCCCACAGAGCAUUCAGAUAAUUAUCUGUGACACCCAUGGUGCACUGUGAGCAGGUAUACAGGCCCACAGAGCAUGCAGAUAAUUAUCUGUGACACCCACUGUACACUGUGAGCAGGUAUACAGGCCCACAGAGCAUGCAGAUAAUUAUCUGUGACACCCAUGGUGCACUGUGAGCAGGUAUACAGGCCCACAGAGCAUGCAGAUAAUUAUCUGUGACACCCAUUGUACACUGUGAGCAGGUAUACAGGCCAACAGAGCAUGCAGAUAAUUAUCUGUGACACCCAUGGUGCACUGUGAGCAGGUAUACAGGCCAACCGAGCAUGCAGAUAAUUAUCUGUGACACCCAUGGUACACUGUGAGCAGGUAUACAGGCCAACAGAGCAUGCAGUUAAUUAUCUGUGACACCCAUGGUACACUGUGAGCAGGUAUACAGGCCAACAGAGCAUGCAGAUAAUUAUCUGUGACACCCAUGGUGCACUGUGAGCAGGUAUACAGGCCAACCGAGCAUGCAGUUAAUUAUCUGUGACACCCAUGGUGCACUGUGAGCAGGUAUACAGGCCAACAGAGCAUGCAGAUAAUUAUCUGCGACACCCAUUGUACACUGUGAGCAGGUAUACAGGCCCACAGAGCAUGCAGAUAAUUAUCUUUGACACCCAUGGUGCACUGUGAGCAGGUAUACAGGCCCACAGAGCAUGCAGAUAAUUACCUGUGACACCCAUUGUGCACUGUGAGCAGGUAUACAGGCCCACAGAGCAUGCAGAAAAUUAUCUGUGACACCCCUUGUACACUGUGAGCAGGUAUACAGGCCCACAGAGCAUGCAGAUAAUUAUCUGUGACACCCAUUGUACAUUGUGAGCAGGUAUACAGGCCCACAGAGCAUGCAGAUAAUUAUCUGUGACACCCACUGUACACUGUGAGCAGGUAUACAGGCCCACAGAGCAUGCAGAUAAUUAUCUGUGACACCCAUGGUGCACUGUGAGCAGGUAUACAGGCCCACAGAGCAUGCAGAUAAUUAUCUGUGACACCCAUUGUACACUGUGAGCAGGUAUACAGGCCAACAGAGCAUGCAGAUAAUUAUCUGUGACAUCCAUGGUGCACUGUGAGCAGGUAUACAGGCCAACAGAGCAUGCAGAUAAUUAUCUGCGACACCCAUUGUACACUGUGAGCAGGUAUACAGGCCCACAGAGCAUUCAGAUAAUUAUCUGUGACACCCAUGGUGCACUGUGAGCAGGUAUACAGGCCCACAGAGCAUGCAGAUAAUUAUCUGUGACACCCACUGUACACUGUGAGCAGGUAUACAGGCCCACAGAGCAUGCAGAUAAUUAUCUGUGACACCCAUGGUGCACUGUGAGCAGGUAUACAGGCCCACAGAGCAUGCAGAUAAUUAUCUGUGACACCCAUUGUACACUGUGAGCAGGUAUACAGGCCAACAGAGCAUGCAGAUAAUUAUCUGUGACACCCAUGGUGCACUGUGAGCAGGUUUACAGGCCAACAGAGCAUGCAGAUAAUUAUCUGUGACACCCAUGGUGCACUGUGAGCAGGUAUACAGGCCAACCGAGCAUGCAGUUAAUUAUCUGUGACACCCAUGGUGCACUGUGAGCAGGUAUACAGGCCAACAGAGCAUGCAGAUAAUUAUCUGCGACACCCAUGGUACACUGUGAGCAGGUAUACAGGCCAACCGAGCAUGCAGUUAAUUAUCUGUGACACCCAUGGUGCACUGUGAACAGGUAUACAGGCCCACAGAGCAUGCAGAUAAUUAUCUUUGACACCCAUGGUGCACUGUGAGCAGGUAUACAGGCCCACAGAGCAUGCAGAUAAUUACCUGUGACACCCAUUGUGCACUGUGAGCAGGUAUACAGGCCCACAGAGCAUGCAGAAAAUUAUCUGUGACACCCCUUGUACACUGUGAGCAGGUAUACAGGCCCACAGAGCAUGCAGAUAAUUAUCUGUGACACCCAUUGUACAUUGUGAGCAGGUAUACAGGCCCACAGAGCAUGCAGAUAAUUAUCUGUGACACCCACUGUACACUGUGAGCAGGUAUACAGGCCCACAGAGCAUGCAGAUAAUUAUCUGUGACACCCAUGGUGCACUGUGAGCAGGUAUACAGGCCCACAGAGCAUGCAGAUAAUUAUCUGUGACACCCAUUGUACACUGUGAGCAGGUAUACAGGCCAACAGAGCAUGCAGAUAAUUAUCUGUGACAUCCAUGGUGCACUGUGAGCAGGUAUACAGGCCCACAGAGCAUGCAGAUAAUUAUCUGUGACACCCACUGUACACUGUGAGCAGGUAUACAGGCCCACAGAGCAUGCAGAUAAUUAUCUGUGACACCCAUGGUGCACUGUGAGCAGGUAUACAGGCCCACAGAGCAUGCAGAUAAUUAUCUGUGACACCCAUUGUACACUGUGAGCAGGUAUACAGGCCAACAGAGCAUGCAGAUAAUUAUCUGUGACAUCCAUGGUGCACUGUGAGCAGGUAUACAGGCCCACAGAGCAUGCAGAUAAUUAUCUGUGACACCCCUUGUA